CCGAGUGUGGACCUCCACAGUCCAACCUCCCACCCGUGUCUACGAAAUACCCUGUUGCUUUGGCGGGCCCACCGGGAAGCCGGUCGCCGGAGGACGCACUGUCCUCGGGCCCGCGCCCGCCGGAGCGCUUGAAGAAACCCUAUGGAAACGGACUGUCUGAGUAUGAUUGAUAAUCAUCA
rnacentral:misc_RNA from 1 species